UACUGCUGCAAUACCGUGGAGACAAACCCCCGGCACGAUUAAACGCUUUGUGUACAUUCGUGUACAAGGUGUAAGGGUAGGUCUCGGCUUUCCGCAAACGUUGCGUAUAUUUCUGAAAAGUGGAUUUAAUCGAAUUGUCUUACUGAGAAAUAGCAGGAGUAAAUAGUUACGGAUUUUAAAUUUCGAUAAAAAUGCCCUAUUCUACUAUUGUUCUUUGUAUACCAACACAUACUUUUUAACCUA